rnacentral:rRNA from 1 species
UAUGUGAUCGUCUCUCGCAUAUCAAUAAGCGGAGGAAAAGAAACUAACAAGGAUUCCCCUAGUAACGGCGAGUGAAGCGGGAAGAGCUCAAAUUUGAAAUCUUAAAGGGUUUCCCUUUACGAAUUGUAGUUUAAAGAAGUGUUUUCUGUUGAGGUUUUGGUAAAGGUUCUUUGGAAUAGGACAUCAUAGAGGGUGAGAAUCCCGUAUUUGACCUUUACUUUCAACUUUGUGAUACACUUUCAAAGAGUCGGAUUGUUUGGGAAUGCAGUCCAAAAUGGGUGGUAAAUUUCAUCUAAAGCUAAAUAUUGGCGAGAGACCGAUAGCGAACAAGUACCGUGAGGGAAAGAUGAAAAGAACCUUGAAAAGAGAGUUAAACAGUACGUGAAAUUGUCAAAAGGGAAGCGUUUGACACCAGUGUUGUUUUUCUGAAAAUCAAUUAAAGAACUGUUUAUGCUAAGUUGUUUAGACUUUAUCAGCUAACUGUUUAGUUUUGAGCUUUUCUUUAAUGCACUUUUCAGUUAACAAGUCAACAUCAAUUUCUUUUGCUGUAAAAAAGCUUGAGGAAGGUGGCUUGAGAUUCGUCUUAAGUGUUUAUGGCCUCUUGCCUAUGCAGUCAGAGAGAUUGAGGUCUGCAGCGUAGAUCCUUCGGGGCUAAAUGCAUUUGUGACUAAGUUAUAGCAUUUUAUAGGACAACUUGUUGACUAUGAUUUGUCUUGUAGCUUACUCGCUUAUGUUAUUUUACCUACGCUUAGGAUGUUGAGUAGCGACAUACGCAC